rnacentral:rRNA from 1 species
UACGUAGGGUGCGAGCGUUAAUCGGAAUUACUGGGCGUAAAGCGUGCGCAGGCGGUUUGCUAAGACCGAUGUGAAAUCCCCGGGCUUAACCUGGGAACUGCAUUGGUGACUGGCAGGCUAGAGUAUGGCAGAGGGGGGUAGAAUUCCACGUGUAGCAGUGAAAUGCGUAGAGGUGUGGAGGAAUACCGAUGGCGAAGGCAGCCCCCUGGGCCAAUACUGACGCUCAUGCACGAAAGCGUGGGGAGCAAACAGG